rnacentral:ribozyme from 1 species
GUUUUUACUGUGAGAAUCAGUGACAAACAUGUGGGGCUUAUAUCUAAUCAUUUUAGAUGACAGUAUUACUGCCGUCUGAAGGUAGGUGGAGGAGAUUAGUAUUAGUGCAGACGUUAAAAUCAUGU